rnacentral:tRNA from 1 species
AAAAAGUUAGUUAAAUAGAUAACCUUAAUAUGUCAUAUUAAAAUCAUUAUAUUCUAUAAUACUUUUUU